GGUGGAUGUCCCACCUCUUGAUGUGCUCAAUGCCUGGUUGGAUGGAGCUCUGGACAACUUGGUCUAGUGAAAGGUGUCCCUGUCAAUGGCAGGGAGGUGGAACACAAUGGUCUUUAAGGGUUACUACAGAUUUCAUCCAUGACCUUGAAAAGCAUGCCAUCAAAACUGAUGUUGAAAUCUACACAAUUUUGUGAAACAUUUUGGUAUCAAUGAACUGCUAUUAAAAAACCCAAAAAAAAGAGGACUCUUUCUUGAAAAUGAUUUCUUUCAUCAAGUAGUUUGUUGCAUCUCUGUGAACAUCAGUUCUGCUUCCUUCAGAACUUCAAACAAAUAUUUCCUGCACGUUUACAGGAAACAUAUUAAACACUAUAAAUGGCAACCUGCCUUGCACCUGAUUCAAUAGUUAAAGUGAGGUGUGAGCAACAGAGUGACACAGUGCUCCCCUGGCAUCAUGGCAGUAUUGUCCCAGCUGCUUCUGCUGACCUCUCAAUAUGAAAACAGCUUCAUGCAGGUGUUCUGAUUUUUUGUACCUGUGAAGUCUUAUAAUUGUGAAGUCAUCCAACUUUGAAUUGAUUGUGGAAGAAAUGUGAACAGUUCAUUCUCUGUUGGACGUUGCCAAGAAAUACAACAGCUAAAGUGAGCUUUUCUUAGGAUCUUCUGGCUAGAGGAUGUGGUUGCAUGGAAGUGGUCUCCUGUUGAGCUGGGAUUCCUCCCAGCCUUGUUCCUCAUGGCAGAUGUACCUUUCUACUAAUGUCAGACCUUUGGAUGAGUCCAAUUUGAGUUCUCUCCAAAUUGGAGCUGGAUUGCAUGCCAGAUCCUCUCAGCUGGAGCUGGGAUGCCUGUCAAGAUCUGAGAUUCCUUACCUGAGACUGCAAUCCAUCCUUGCCCAAGGUAGAGAGACCGUCAAGAACAGCACUUGCUGACAGCAUGAUAAAUCAAUGGUAAUGAAACCCAUGCAGCUAAUCUCUUUAGACAUAAACCAUUGACCAAGUCAGUCCAAGAUUGGACUGAGACACAGGCUCCAUGAGAAGUCCAAAACUCAAGGAAGUCGCCUCUGAAGCUUAUGAGCCAAUGGAAGGGUCUCCCUUAUCCUUUAGAAUCUUCAGUCUACCUGUAAAUAUUUUUAAAUGCAUUCUAAUUUGAUUUUGCUUUGCAUGUUUCAUCCAAAUAAUAGAGUGAACCUUGCCAUCAAACUUUGUUACAGUGCAUUUCUGUAUAUUAAAUGGUAUUAUUUCUAGAAAUCCAAUUAUAUGAAAAGAUUUUUUGCUAAUAGUUUUGAUGGUGGUUAUUUAAGCAACCUUAAAUUGUUAAUUUGUGACAUAAAGGAAACAACAGUGAGACCAACAUGCGUGAACUAAAACAGAGUUCAAGAGAAGCUGAAGGAGCUUGUAGGUUCUUGGACAGACAAUGUAGCCAGUAAGCCUCACAUUCUCCUGAACACUAAGACAAAAAUACUAUAUUAUGAAGCUAAAGUUUCCUUUUCUUUUCUUGGUAAACUUUAGUUUGCAUCUACAAUUUUCAGGCGAGAUUUAUCCCAAGGCCUUUUAAUUGUGAUUUAGAGGCUAUUUCUCUUUUUGUUGUUUUUAUUAUU